CAUUUAGUAAUUUAGACUUUGAAGCCAUUGGAAGAAUCUUAAUUAAACCUUUUUUAGGCAUGAAAAAAUAGCUAUUACAGUGCUUGCAAAACCUAUCUUUCGCUUGGCUCAUGCGUUAUUAGGAUGAUGCUUAAAUUAUUAUUUUUUAAUGUAACUGUGUCUCCUUUAUUAAGAAAUGUUGACUAGACAAGUGAUCUGUCCAAAUUUAAAACUAGAAAUAGAACCUUUAUCUCCCACCCUGUCUGAAUUAUUCUUUCCAUAUGUAGCUGCUUAGUUGUGUCUUUACCACUAAUUAACCAUGUGAACUCUAAGCAAGUUAUUUUACUUUUCUUCAUCUUUUUAUCUUUUGUAAAAUUAGGGGGUUAUUAUGAAUCAUUUCUAACAUCUCUGCUAAUGCCCCAGAUACUGUAAAUGACCCAGAAUGUAAUUGCGGGCAGUGUUAACUUAGCUUCCUAGAAGAUGGGGGAUAUGACUGGGCCUUGAAUAAAAUCCAAGAUUUGGCAGAGUAGAGAGGGAAAGAAUUCAUGAGAUGGGGAGCAGUAGAACAAAGGCUUAGGUGUGAAUAUGUGGCUGUAGUAAAGAGAAAUGGCCUGAUUAUAGCAAUUAUAUGAGGUUUAGUAGAACCAUUUAAGAAAGGUAAAGCCACUUCAUAGAAAUUAUUUUAUCCCUGGUCUGUGGGUGACGUCUGUUUCCUGUGAUUGAAACCGCAAGAAGAAGUGGUGAGAAGCCACUGUAGGAUAUGUAUUAUCAGGCAAGCAGCAGGCAUUGGGCUGCCCUCAAAAAGAGCAGUAGUACCUAAGUAUAGUCUUUAAGGAGUCGGAAGAGACCCUAGAAAUGAUCUGACCCAGCCUCUUAAAAUUAGGAGGACACUGAGGCCUAGUGGUAUUAAGUUGCUCAAAGUCGUGUAAUUAGAUGACCUAGGUUUUAGACUCCACUAAUAUUCUUCUCAGUAUUCUUUCUCACAUUGCAUUGUCAUACCUAAACUUUGUAACUGUGCCUUGUCAGGAGUGUUUCCUUAAGCAAAAUACCACUGGAGAAGAGUAAAUACUGAUAGGCAUUUUGCCUAUGGUAAUUGGAUGAUGAUGUUUUGCUUUUAGAUGAUGUGCUAAUGAUUUUUUGUGUGUGCUUUUUUUUUGAAAACACAUAUAUAUUUUUGAAACAAUACGUAAGAACCCU
rnacentral:lncRNA from 1 species